ensembl:lncRNA
GUAACUUAUGAUGCAGUCUCCUGGUGCAGUGUGGGGCUGAGCUUACUUCAGCAUGCAUAUUGAGUGUAGGAUAAAGGACUGAGACCUCCCAUUCCUUGCUGUAAUGCUUCUUACAGGAGCCUCAGCAGAAUGUGGGAAAGUGUUUGCUCUGUUGUUCUGUGAGAGCAACGAAAGGCUUAGGGAAACUGCUGAGCACCUGGGAUGUGAGGUUUGAAGGAAGAGGAGGCACCUUGGAACUUCUCCCUUGGGUCCAUCCUGGCGCAGGAGCCCUGCUCUGAAACCUGAUCCUGCUGGAUGGGUUCCAGCCGGCCGAGAACACCCCUCGGGCUGCGUCCGCGGCUUUCGAGGAGCCUCCCUCCUUCUGAGAGAACAAUGUCAGCGUGGCUGCCGGCCAGAGAGCAUCCCAGAGCAUCCCAGAGCAUCCCAGAGCAUCCCAGAGAGGGGAGGUCAGGACCCCGCUCCGUUUUGCACCAGGAGCACCGAGGAGGGCUGGGCUCACGGUCUGAGGGAAGCCCUGCGAGAGCUGCCUUCCCCUCAGGCCUCCUCCUACAAAUCUUUCCACGCUGCAAACAGAAAUUUGCAAAUCUAGGCCAAGCAUUCCCUGCUCCUAUUUCACCACCCAUGCUGUCGGAGGACGGUUGUGCUGUGUGCUAUGGAGACGCAGCACCUCAGGAUAAACCUGGACCGCUCUGCUCCGUGCUCAUGCGGCCCAGUGGGGUCCUCUUCUAUACCUGGACCAUUACCCUGGGACUAAUUAAAAUAAUUAACAAGUGUAAUUAACUGUUGAGAGUUUUAGCACAUUAUAUCAGCAACAAUUAAAUAAAUUGCCCGUUUUGUCUUGCAAAGAAAAGACAGAGAGGGGAACAAGGAGGAGGGAGGUGGAGAGACUGAUGCUGUGGCACGGGGAAGUGAAUAGGGGUCGGUGGCUCUUGUGUUGGAAGACAAAGCAGACAAAGCUGUGCCCCAUGGAAUUACCGAGUGGCAGAUGCAGAUCGGCCACAUUUCCCGCAGCGUGUAAUUAAGCUGAGGAGCUCAUUGCCCAAAUGAAUCCCCAGAUCCGGGGGGCACGGAGUGCUGGGGGCCCUGUGUUGUCCCCAGGUCCCUGCUGCCUGCUCCUGCUGUGCAUUCGGUGCCACAACACCGCGGUGGCUGCUCCGCAGAGUUAGGGGACGCGUCCCAGCCAUGUUCCAGCACUGCUCAGCCUGGCUCCAGCCUCCAGCACGGAGCCUUGGGGUUCGCCUCUCCUCACCAUCAGUGACCCCGGGCUGCAUUUUGGGCAGCACAGGAGCCCAGCGGGAUAGAGCAGAACCCACGUGCAGGUGCCCCUCUGCCCAAGGGACAGGGACAGCGGCUGAGCCAAUCCUGAGGUGAGGGGAGCAAGUAGGUGCCCUGCUUUGCUUUGUGCACCUUGCUGAAAUGCGUGAGCCCAAAGGGAAAGAAACAGCAGAAAUCCAAGCAAAUAAGGAAGAGAUCCAAGCAAAUACGAGGCCCAUCACAGUCAGUGGAGGUCCCUCUGCAGGCUGAACACAGGGAGGGCUCCAUCCCCACCUAUUUCUGCUCCAAGCAUGCCAGCGCGACUCAGCUGCCUUUCCUGAUUGAAAUCUAACACCUUUUAUACGGUUCACGUCUCAUAACUCGGGGGGGGGGGGUUUAAAGAAAAAUUAAUUCCUUGGACUUUGGCACCAGCGGGCAGCGGUCGGGGCAGAAGCUGUUCUCCUGCCUUGCAGAGCCACGCUCCCCCCCAGCAUCUCCCGUCAGCAUCUUCCUUCAGCCCAUUUGUUUUAGGGGAACACAAAAGCUCUGCUUUCUGCCCGUUUUCCCCCCCGUGCCGCCCGGUGCCCCCACACAGCCCCAGUGCCCACGGCCUCCCGCUGCCAUCUGCAUGACAAAGCCCACUGCUCCGCGCCUUUUGGGGAUUGCCCGCACCACAAACCUUAUGGGCUUCAUCAAUAGCUCGGAUGAUUUUAGGGUCUAGGUUUUUAUUCACUACAGCGUUGGCUGACAAAGCCCAUUACAUCAUCUGUUUGGAAGAGAAAUUCUCUGCAGCUGCUUGUGUGGCACAGGGGGGUUUGCUGGAAAAAAUAAGGCAGAUUUUUUUUUUCCGUUUGGUUUUGUUUCAUUCUUUCAGGGCAAUUUUCCUUCAAAUUGCUGGAAAACUGCACGUUAAAAAGGCUUCCAAAGUGGAAAGGAAAAGGGCAGAGCGCAGCAGCUUUAAGCAUUCUUUUUUUUUUUUGCUUUUUUUCAUUUCCCUUCCAAAAAGCCGGGGGGAGGGCAGCCCCCGCUCAGGGCCGUGUGUGGGGCUGGGGUGUGGGGACAGCGGGGUGCCCCGUCCUGUCCCAUUGCUGCUGGGAAGUCCUCCUGGCUCAGCACCGGUGUGAGCAGAGGAAUCCCUCCUGAGCUCAAAAGAGGCUGAAGUUGUAGCUUGGGUUGCUGUUGGAAUGGCUGCUAAGCUCGAAAGAAAGGUUUAUAAUUCAUAGGGUAACACAGCGCACGGCGCUAUGGAAAACAGCUCUUCACUCACUGCAAUUAAGAGUGAGAAAACCCCAUAACUGCAGAUAAAAAUCCGUUAUUAUAGAUGAGUGUGACAGACCACUGCGUUUCCCCAUCAGGUGAGCAGCACGGAUGGGCCGAGCCUCGUUAGCACAGGGCUUUCACAAGUGGGUUCUGAGACAUUUAAACUGUAUCCAGGAAAAGAUGGGUCCUAAAUGCACCGCAGGUGUCACUGCCGAAUGUGUCCUUGGGGGUAAUCCGGAUGUGCUGAGGAGCACGGAGGCGCAGCGCUGACACAGCACGGUGGGGGUGGGCUGGAGGUCCCAACCUGAAUGAGUGGAUGGCUGAGCGAUGGGAAUGCUGCCGGGUUGUGGCAGCCUCGGCAAUGGGGAGAAGGUGUGGGGGACGGGGGGUGAUCCGGGUCUGGGAGUUUCUUUUAGCAGCAGAGAUUGGCUCACGUUCAGUUCAUGUUUUAUCUCGGAUAGGAAUUGAUUUUUUUUUAAUAGGUCGAGAGUUCAGGAAAGCUAAAAUAAUAAUAAUAAUAAUAAUAAUAAUAUAAACCAGGAUCUGUCUUUUUCUGCUCCCUGAAUACAUAGGGCUGCUUUCCGGCACACAUUUCAUUUUCAGGUGAGUUCCUUUGUUGCCAUAGCAAUAUUACUCGUGUUUGGAAAGCCGCAGCUUUGGUUUUCUCCCAGGCCAUGCUGUCACACGCAGGCAGCACCCCGAGCCCAGCACAGAGCCGCACUGAGCUGCGCCGCAGCACGGAGGCAGAGGGGAGGGCCAUGGGGGAGCGCAGGGCUCCCACCCAAAGAUGCUCCUCUCUUCUCACCCUUCCACCCACACCUCACAGCGCGGCUUUGCAGUCAGGUCAAAGGAAACCCGGUGGCUUUGCUAAUUAGCACUUAUUAACGACGCUUCUCUGGCUGUGCCCGCAGCUCUCCCUCCAGGCACUGGCGCACGUGCAGCAACAAAACCCGUGUGCGCCCCAGAGAGCUCAGAAUCCCGUAAAUCCCAUUUGCUGCCACACAGGUGUCUCAUUUCCUCGCUCCGCAGAUCCCGGGCCCAGUGAAUUUAUUUUAUUACUCUGCUGAAGUAAAGGCUUUAAAUACUGCGGGACGUGCAUGACGGGGGUCUGUAACAGCAUUAAGAAAGGCACGAGGAAAAGGGAUUCCCCCGUAAGGGAACGGUUCUGUGGUCAUUUGGGUAAUAUGUAUUCUGUACAUGUGCCAGGAAUUAAGAUUUGAUUUUAAGUAUUUAUAUAUUAAAUAUUUAAUCUAGUCACAUCUAGUCGUUUGAUCCGGGCAGGUGGGAUCGCUGGGCUGACAUUGACGGGAUGAGCUUCAACAUGACCAAGCGCCGGGUCCUGCAGUUAGGCCGAGCAGCUGGAAGGCUGUGUGGGAGAAAUGGACCUGGAGGUGCCGGUCAGAGCUCAGCUGAACAUCAGUCAGCAGUGUGUCCAGGUGGCCAAGAAGGCCAAUGGCAUCCUGGCUUGUAUCAGAAAUGGUGCAGCCAGCAGGAGCAGGGAAGUAAUCAUCCCGUUGUGCUCAGGACUGCUGAGGUGGCACCUUGAGUGCUGUGUUCAGUUUUGGGUCCCUCACUACAAGAAAGACAUCGACGCGCUGGAGUGUGUCCAGAGAAGGGCAGUGGAACUGUGAACGGUGUGGAGCACAGAUCUUAUGGGAACUGAAGGAACUGGGAUUGUUCUGUGUGGAGGAGGCUCAGGGGAGACCUUACUGAUCACUACAGCUGCCUGACAGGAGGUUGUGGAGGGUGCAGGUUGGCCCCUUCUCCCCAGUAGCAGUGACAGCACAAUAGGUACCAGCCUUAAGUUGCACCAGGGGAGGUUCAGGUGGGAAAUUAGGACAAAUUUCUUCACCAAAAGAGUGGUGAGGCACUGCAAUGGGCUGCCCAGGGGUGGGGUGGAGUCACCAUCCCUGGAGGUGUUCAAGAACCAUUUAGAUGUUGUACUCAGGGACAUGGUUUAGUGGGGAAAUACGUGGUCAGUGGACAGUUGGACUAGAUGAUCUUGGAGGUCUUUUCCAACCUUGGUGAUUCUAUGAUUCACGCCAUUAAGUUAUUAAAAUACUUAAUGUUAAAUUCAAUUUUUUUCUGUACUUCUUUUAAUUAAAGCAGGCACAGAGGGCCACGCAUUAACCUAAAACCCACUCCGUGAUGCCACAUCAUAGCUAUGGCUGCGUGCUGGGAGGCUGUUCUGCUGCACCACCAUAAGCUGUUCACGUAGAUCACGUUUAAAGGCUGUUUUUGCUUGCUUUGUUUGUUUGUUUGCUUUUGUUUUUUAAUUCUGAAUAAGCCCCGUUCGGAUUAACAAGCAGAGGCUGCGUGCACACAGCAGACCCGUGGGUGCUGCAAGCCUUGCUGCGAUGCAGGCAGCAGAUGACAGCUGCAGGGCUGUGCGGCUACAGGGCUGCGGGGAUGAUGCAGGCAGAGCAGCGGGCAGCAGUGCUGGGGGCACACAGCCCUGUGACGUUGCCUUUCUGUGGGGGAAUGCCACCGGCGCAGUCAUUCCGGCAGCAUUAGGGCUGUGGUGGCUCCCAGGAUUACCCACGCACAGCCCUCCCAUCGCCGGCAGAAUCGCUGUGCCCAAACACAAUAGGAGCCUGGAAGAAAGCAACGGCCUCGACAAUGAGUUUCUCUGCUUUUAUAGGUUUUAGUGGAGCCCAUUGUGCUGUUUUAACACCCUUUUUUGUAUUUCGAUUCCUAAUAUCUUUGACUGGGGGAAGGGUGGAGAGGGCACCGAUUUAAUUCGAUAAUCCCCCUAAGCCUUGCUUAAUGCACUCACUCUAUUUUGUGCCUGUGAAUUUUAUAGUGGUAUUUGGGGUGGUUGCAGCACUGCACUGGAAUACGUCCCACCAUUUAUUUUUGCAGCCAUUGGAGGGAAAUGGCUCGCAGUGCUGAGCAGCCUAUUCACUGCGCUCACAUUGUCAAACCCAACAAACCGUCAGCCCAGAUGUGGUCGGAUCCCGGGGCUGCAGCAGGGAUGUGGGGAAAGGAGUUCAGAGUCCGCUGAAAAUUGCUCAAAUGAAUAUCUAACCAUGAGCAGAAGGCUUCCUCCCUCUGCCAAAAUUCUGAGCUGGAUUUGGGCUGUGAGGACAGCUCAUGGCUCCUUCUGAAGGGUCCCAAGACAGACAAGUCUUUGGGCUCCCAAAACUUCAUGGCUGUGCCAUGAGCAAUUUGCUCCUAGCAGGAACAUGAGGUGGUGCUGAGCCAUCCUGGGAGCAUCUCAGAAGGCUACAGCAGAGACAAAAAGUGCCAACGUAAGGGUCAGAAUGUCUGGGGCAGCUGGCAUGCAGCAGCAACAAAGCUAAGAUGAGAAGAAGGGGUUUGGAAGAGGUCAGGAUCAGAAAGACGGUGUCUGUAGGGAACCGGGUCAUCCAAAGAGGAGAAAAGAACAAAGGAAGAAAAAAUAUUAAGAGGCUGAGAUCUACCACACUGACAGGAGAUCUACACACUGACAGAGAAGACAGGAAGGUGUCCACAGACAUCUCAGAGAGAGGAGGAGACCUCAGCAGGAACACGGCAGGGCUCCUGUAGUUUAGCAAACUGCCCAAGAAUGUGCAGAAUAAGAAGCUUUUUUCACCUAUAGCCUGUGCAACUGCCUUCCUCAUUUCUUACAGCCCAGCAGUAAGGAUGUAAUGCCUCAUGAAAAUAAAUAUGGAUGGCUGGAAUUGUGUCUGUAAGGCUCCCAUUUGCCUUUCACAGCCUCAGCCCACAUCUUUCAGCCUUCCAUGCAAUUUCUCAUCAAACACCAGGACAGUACUCAGCCGCACAGAGCUCAUGGAUCUCAUAAACUCUACAGAAAAGCUUUCUUUAUUGGCAUAAAAGACACAACAGGGUAAGUAUUUGGAGGUGUUGAAAAACACUUCACCAGACAUUAAAUAAUAUUAUUUAUUCUAUCAAGAAAAGCUCUAAGGGACAUCCCAAAAAUGUGAGCCGUCUUCCAAUGGAGAUAAGAAAGAGAACACACGUACCAGCAAGCUGUUUCUAAAGCUCUGAUCAGU